rnacentral:rRNA from 1 species
GCCUGGCCCUAAAUCUUGAUGCUCGAUAUUACCUGAGCAUCCGCCCGAGAACUACGAGCACAAACGCUUAAAACUCUAAGGACUUGGCGGUGCUCCAAACCCACCUAGAGGAGCCUGUUCUGUAAUCGAUGAUCCACGAUAUUACCUGACCAUUCCUUGCACGAAACAGCCUAUAUACCGCCGUCGCCAGCCCACCUUUCCUGACAGCCCAACAGUGGACGCAAUAGCCUAACCCGCUAGCAAGACAGGUCAAGGUAUAGCCCACGGAAUGGAAGCAAUGGGCUACAUUUUCUAGACUARAACAUACGGAUAAGGGUAUGAAACUGCCCUUGGAAGGCGGAUUUAGCAGUAAAGAGAGACAAUCGAGCUCUCUUUAAGCCGGCUCUGGAGCACGU